GGGAAAGGCUAGCCAGGAGCGCAGCCCUAUCCGCCUCUCCCUCAUAAAACAGCCUGUGUUGGGCUGAGCAGGCCCCUCACACAAAGGAGGGCAGGGCAGGCAGGGCUGCCCCCCCUUCCCCCCGCCUCGGCAGAGGGGCAGUGGGGUGGCGCCCUUCCCCGUGCAGAGCACUUCACAGCCACUUCUCUCCCGUCCCUCGUCUUCUUCCCCCUACCUUUCCUCCCAACCCGCCCCGCGGUUCUCCCCUCAGCCCCCCACCCGCUGUCCAUGUAGCCGCCCGGCCGCUGGCCCCUCCGCACUAUGCCCAUCUUACUCUUCCUGAUAGACACGUCCGCCUCCAUGAACCAGCGCACCCAUCUGGGCACGACCUAUCUGGACAUAGCCAAAGGCGCUGUAGAGACAUUCAUGAAGCUCCGAGCCCGGGACCCGGCCAGCAGGGGAGACAGGUACAUGCUGGUCACUUUCGAGGAGCCUCCCUACGCUAUCAAGGCCGGCUGGAAGGAAAACCAUGCAACGUUUAUGAAUGAACUGAAAAACCUUCAAGCUGAAGGACUUACGACUCUUGGCCAGUCCCUAAGGACAGCUUUUGAUUUAUUAAACUUAAAUAGAUUAGUAACUGGCAUAGACAACUAUGGGCAGGGACGAAACCCCUUUUUUCUGGAGCCAGCAAUAAUUAUAACAGUUACUGAUGGAAGUAAAUUAACUACUACCAGUGGGAUACAGGAAGAGCUCCAUUUGCCCCUCAAUUCCCCUCUACCUGGAAGUGAAUUGACCAAGGAACCCUUUCGAUGGGAUCAGAGGUUGUUUGCUUUGGUUCUCCGUUUGCCUGGUAUUACAGCACCAGAAUCGGAACAGAUGACAGGGGUACCGGUGGAUGACUCUGCCAUCACACCUAUGUGUGAAGUUACAGGAGGUCGAUCAUAUUGCGUGUGCUCUCCGAGAAUGCUCAAUCAGUGUCUGGAGUCAUUGGUGCAAAAAGUGCAAAGUGGAGUGGUAAUAAACUUUGAAAAAGCCGGACCAGAUCCCUCACCAAUUGAUGAUGGACAGGUGGAAAUAUCUAGACCUUUUGGACCCCAACCUUGGCACAGCUGUCACAAACUUAUUUAUGUCAGACCAAACCCUAAAACUGGGGUUCCUAUAGGUCAUUGGCCUGUUCCUGAGUCGUUUUGGCCAGAUCAAAAUUCUCCGACGCUGCCACCCCGCACAUCUCAUCCUGUGGUGAAAUUUUCCUGUACUGACUGUGAGCCCAUGGUCAUUGACAAACUGCCUUUCGACAAAUAUGAGCUGGAACCCUCACCACUGACCCAGUUUAUCCUGGAAAGAAAAUCCCCUCAGACCUGCUGGCAGGUAUAUGUGAGCAAUAGUGCAAAGUACAGUGAACUUGGUCAUCCUUUUGGUUACUUGAAAGCUAGUACAGCUCUGAAUUGUGUGAAUUUAUUUGUGAUGCCUUACAAUUAUCCAGUCCUCCUUCCACUGCUAGAUGACUUGUUUAAAGUACACAAGGCAAAGCCCACAUUGAAAUGGCGGCAGUCAUUUGAGAGCUAUUUGAAGACAAUGCCUCCGUAUUAUCUUGGGCCUUUGAAGAAAGCUGUGAGAAUGAUGGGAGCACCAAAUCUUAUAGCUGACAAUGUGGAAUAUGGACUUAGUUACAGUGUCAUUUCAUAUCUCAAAAAGUUGAGUCAGCAGGCCAAAAUAGAGUCCGAUAGAGUCAUUGGCUCUGUAGGCAAAAAGGUAGCGCAAGAGACUGGAAUUAAGGUCAGAAGCAGAUCACACAACCUGUCUAUGGCACAUAGGAACGAUUUUCAACAUCUGCUACAGGGGAUUACUGGGGAAAUUCCUCAUAGACCUCUAGACCUCAAUAUGAAGGAGUAUGCUGGGUUCCAAAUAGCUUUGCUGAAUAAGGAUCUGAAACCUCAGACUUUUAGAAAUGCUUAUGACAUACCCAGAAGAAAUCUUCUGGAUCAGUUAACACGAAUGAGAUCUAAUUUACUGAAGAGUACUCGCAAGUUCCUCAAAGGACAAGAUGAAGAUCAAGUUCACAGUGUACCUAUAGCACAAAUGGGAAACUACCAGGAAUAUCUAAAACAAAUACCUUCUCCACUUAGAGAGCUUGAUCCUGAUCAACCCCGAAGGCUUCAUACUUUCGGCAAUCCAUUCAAAUUGGACAAAAAGGGAAUGAUGAUAGAUGAAGCAGAUGAAUUUGUAUCAGGACCUCAGAAUAAACAUAAAAGACCAGGAGAACCAAGUAUGCAAGGGAUUCCAAAAAGACGACGUUGUAUGUCCCCCCUGCUCAGAGGUCGACCUCAGACUCCUCCGAUUGUGAAUAACCACAUUGGAGGAAAAGGGCCGCCCACACCAGUCACGCAAGCACAGCCUGACCAUGUUAAACCUAUUCCUCUUCACAAAAUGUCAGAAACAAAUAAUGAGGUUACAGUGGAUGAUGUGGUAGAGAAUCAUGUUACAGACCCACUUUCACCAGAUGUUUUCCCAAAUACCAUGGAUUCAGAGUUUUCCAUGCCACCGUCUCCCUUCAAUGCAUUGGAUCGACCAGCAGCUAAUACAGACAAUGCAGGCCAUGAACCUUUAGGGAGUAACUUGAAUGUUGAUGGAUUUCUGGAAAAUCAUGAGGAAUCAGGUAACAAAGAACAAAGUACUGAAGAGAACUUGCCCGUGUCUUCACCCAGCAAAAGGAAAAAAAAUGUGCAUUGCAGAAGUUCCAGAGAAGUGAAUAUAGAGCUAAGAGCACAAAUCAUGAAAGAAAUCCGAAAACCAGGAAGGAAAUAUGAAAGAAUCUUCUUUUUACUGAAGCAUGUACAAGGAAGCUUACAAACCAGACUGAUCUUUUUACAAAAUGUUAUUAAAGAAGCUUCAAGGACUUUCAGUGAGAUGUCCUGAAGAGCUUGACAUAGUCCAAGGUAAACCUGAAUUCCUGUGCCACAGUAAUGUGAAAAUAGUUAGUGUGUUUUUUCCCCACCUUCUACCAGGUAUUAAGUUUUUAGAACACCUGCUAUUAACUUGUACAACUGCUUCAGCAGGCCUUGAAAGUAUUCUGGACAGUAACAUUGCCCAGUCCUUUGCACACAGAAUAUGGACAUGGUAAAUUUUCACUAGGAUUGUGUUACAGUAAAGCACAUUAAGUAAUUUGACUUUUACUAGAGGGAAUGAGAAUGAAUAAUUUUGUUUCCCAGGUUAAUGCUUUUCAACAAGCAGGGAGCAGUUGUGAAAGCAGUGAGGAAAAGUGGAGGGGAAGCUGUACUUGAAGUGUGUGGGGGGUGUUGUGAGGUUAUUGAGGAGCACUGAGAAGUCCAUGGGUAAGGGCCUCCAGCACUGGUAUUUCACAAGAUAGCGAGUGGUUGGGAACGGGAACUGGUUUCCUCACAAUCAAAUGGAGGUCAGUGUUUGGGGAACUGGGGCAUGUGCUGUGUGAGCAAAAACAUGGACUGGGAGGCCUGGCUGGGACUCUGGGGACUCUUUCUGGGGUUUAGUAAGGUCAUAGGACUGAUCUCAGUAAGGAAUUCAGAGUAGUACUGAGUUGAGAAAGUGUCAUCUUUUCACUGCUGCUUACCUUUGAGUAUGCGUAUGGCUGCUGAAACAUCAGUCAGAAGUGGCUUCUCAGAUGCAUAAAUGUCAUAAGGAGGAGGGAUAAGUGGAAACAGCAAGAAGCUGUGUGCAUUGAGUCUAAGCAAAGGUGACAGAGCGGUCUGCUGCUCAGAUUUGCAGUUGCUAUGGAGUAGAACUGCUGAGACUCCAGGUUUAAAAAACGAAUGCUGAUAGAACAGCUUGAGAGUUUUCUGGAAGAAAUCCAUCGCAGAUCCAAUCAGGUCAACCAUAUCAACAG